rnacentral:rRNA from 1 species
GAUGAACGCUAGCUACAGGCUUAACACAUGCAAGUCGAGGGGCAGCAUGGCCUUAGCUUGCUAAGGCCGAUGGCGACCGGCGCACGGGUGAGUAACACGUAUCCAACCUGCCGUCUACUCUUGGACAGCCUUCUGAAAGGAAGAUUAAUACAAGAUGGCAUCAUGAGUCCGCAUGUUCACAUGAUUAAAGGUAUUCCGGUAGACGAUGGGGAUGCGUUCCAUUAGAUAGUAGGCGGGGUAACGGCCCACCUAGUCUUCGAUGGAUAGGGGUUCUGAGAGGAAGGUCCCCCACAUUGGAACGGAGACACGGUCCAAACUCCUACGGGAGGCAGCAGUGAGGAAUAUUGGUCAAUGGGCGCAGGCCUGAACCAGCCAAGUAGCGUGAAGGAUGACUGCCCUAUGGGUUGUAAACUUCUUUUAUAAAGGAAUAAAGUCGGGUAUGUAUACCCGUUUGCAUGUACUUUAUGAAUAAGGAUCGGCUAACUCCGUG